rnacentral:lncRNA from 1 species
CAUCACAAAUAUGUAGUUCUUAUCACUGAAUCCACAUUUCAAAAAACCUGAAGGCUUAGAUAUUGAAACUACCUGUGAGUACUAUGGUACUUUUCACUUAUGUGCUUGACUGAGCUGAGUGAUGAGUACAUACUCCAUUCUUUCAUUGGUGGUUGCUUGUACUUGUUAUCUGUAUUUUUUUUGUUCAAUCCCAAGUAGAGAUAUGUAGUUGAAUGCUCUCUUGAUCAUACCUGCAUUUUAGCAUGUAUUUGGUUUGGAGACCAAGUGGGAUGGGUCAGGUUCAUCCCUGGCCAUGCAUGCUGCAACCACAUUGCUUCAACUGCCUGCAAGUUGUUUGAUGAAAUGUGACGGUUAACUCUACGGUACCGAUCCUGUUUCAUGCCAUUCAUGUCGGACCUCAAGUUGGUUUAGCUCAGUAAGUCUGCAGCUGAAGUUUAGUUUUUUUCUGAUCGCAAAUUUGUAGUUCUUAUCAAUGAAUCCACAUUUAAGAAAACCUAAAGGCUUAGAUAUUUAAACUACCUAUGAGUGUCAGACCUGGGACCACGGGACUGCGCACAUGGCAUAGAAUAUUCUAGGAUAAGGGAUCGGGCAUGUCUCAUACCUUAUAUCUGUUGUAAACUGUUGUAAAGUACUCGGAUACAAGUAUAACUAGUCGGUACAGAAGGAAAUUACCCGAGUAGUACUUAGGUAGGACUCCUAAGCUCCUAUCGGUCUAAGAUUCCAUGUAACCCUGUCGCCCCGGAGUAUAUAAGGGUAGGCAGGGAUCCAUUCCAAGCAUAACCAAUUAAUGCAAUACAAACCACCAUACAGGAUGUAGGGUAUUAUGCACAUCACGGCCCAAACCGGUCUAAACCUUGUGUUGCUUGCACCUUCGAGUUCCUGAUCUUGGCGACACCCUACCUACAACCUACCACCUCAAGGGUAUCCCUCGGUGGGCUUGGCGGUAAAACACCAACAGCUGGAAUGCCAGGUAGGGGUGUUCAUCGAAGAUCUACCUGCGAACUCGAUGGCAUCAUUCAACUUCACCAGCGCCAUGCUCGAGGAGAGCACCACCUUCACUUUUGACUCCUGGGUCUGCAUCGCUUAUGGGUUGGGUGGUUUAAAAAGCCACCUAGCCAACCCUAGGGAGCUUGGAGUGCUUGCAGUAACCUGACGCAGUGAUCUCAACGAGUUUAUCGACAACCUUGAUGAGAUGCUGCUCCCUGACCUAGCUAGGGAGAUUAAGGAACAGUCUGUUUUUAAUGCGACUUCUACUCAUGCUGCACCAGGACUCCUCGGAUCGGAUCCAAUCCGGUCCGAGGAACAACGUACCCGAUUCCCCUUUGGGUUUCGCAACGCGGCCACUAUAUAUCAGGAGGCCACAUGGUUUGAGUCCCUCUCCGCAUUAGAUGGAGGACUUGGAUCGCCUACUCAGGAUCAGAAAAGAUGAAGCCACCGCAUGUCGGGAGGCUACUAUUUUCGACGACUACAACUCGGACUCUGAUGAAAGCGCAGAGCCUUUUCUGUGCGGUCAUCAGGGCGUGGUGAUCACAUCAAUGCCACAAGAUCGCUUCGUGUAUUGGAAGGGCAAGAAACCCUUUGAACUACUCGGAGACAAUGCCCAACUUUGUGGCACACCUUGAUAUGCUGCCUUAUCAAGAAGGUAGGCCCCUCUCCACCAUCACUUAAGGAACCGUGCUGGUCGACUACAGCUCCGACGAGCAGUCAUCGCACCGCCGCAUCUGCAUGGAGGAAGUGGAGGCUGAAGGCAACGAGGACCACGACGAGCUACUCGAGAAAAUCUCCGGGAUGAGGGCACUGCCGACGCCGGUCAUGAGAACGACACUGAGCACGACGCCUGUAGAUUGAGGAACCAGAAGCACGCCACGCGUAGAAGGAACGCCGCGGAGCACAAGCACCUGUCACACCCUAAAAUAUUUAAUUUUAGGAUAUGAAUACCUUUUAGAAUGUGUUCAACCAUCUUUAGGGUUUUUCGAGAAUUUUCCAGAAUUUUCUGGAAAUUAUUCUUUUUUUUAUAGAGCUAAAUCCAUUUAUUGGAAAGCUCUAAAAUCUCUUUCUUGGGCUCCGAGUAUUUUAUUUGGACUCGUCGUGUUCUAGGUUUUUUUAAAUUUUUUGGGAUUCUUCAGGAUAUAUUUUUCGUGUUUUAAAUGAUUUAUCUGGACUUUUCUAGAUUAAUUUUAAGCUUGAAAAUAUGUUCUGGAAAAUGAAUUCGUUUUCUUUUCAUCUCAAGCUGGACUUAAUUCAUUUUUGGUUCAAUUCGCCCCAAGACCAUAGAACCGUGCUGUUGAGCUCGGCCACCACCGUAAUCUCGUCAUCUGUCACGUUUUGACGAUAAAAAGUAAAUCAAAAGCUUCUUCUUGAGGUACCGAAGCGAACACCCAUGUUUUCGCCUUUUGCCUUUCCUUUCCGAAGCUUAAUAGCUCGUCAAGCUAUGUGACCGCCACUCACCGUCAAUCAUCUUUCUUCGCCAAGCUGGAGUUAUCUAGAAGCCUUUCCGUUUGCCCUUUCUUUCUUUCUUUCUUUAUCUCGUAGUCGGAUCGAGCCGUUUCUUUGUUGCCCAUCAAGUUUCUCGUUAUCUAAUCCUUCUCCCUAAUCAAAUCACACUCGAAAAGGAGCCAUAGCUUGAUUUCAAUGUUUUCCGACAACGCUCCGGUGUUGUAAAUCUAUCUACGGCGACCUGCGUCGUUGCUACAUGACCUUGACGUCUGACUCGCCAAAACCUAAACCUUAUCCAACCCAAUUCAGCCAUCAACAUCCCUCUCCUCUCUUUUUCCUUCCUCGACACGACAGCAAUGUCAUGCCAAACUCAGCUUUCAUGUGCGUGCAUGCUAGGACUCGUCGAUCGAGUCCGAUCUGGCCACACAUACCCGCCUCAUCGUAUUCUUGUAUGUCAUUUGCACACCGAGCUAGUUGUUUGCUAUGUGCCAUUUUGGUUCCAUUCGAGACUGGAUGGCUCACGUGGUUGUCCUUGGCAUGGGCGUCACAAAGCCUCACAAUCCAUGCUCUAUGAAAGGAUUUGUGCAGCCUGCUCGACCUUUCUCUAUCUCUAUCUCUCUAUCUCGUUCUAUCCGUGGUGGAUCCUCUCUCUCGAUCGGCUCAUCGGUUUGUGCUAUCCGGUUCCACCUCCCCGUCUUUUCUUCUUUCCUAGGCCCAGUUCGGUGUUCCAGGCCAGCACUAACCGAACCUGCUUGGCCAGCCCAGGUUUAGCUCUCGGCCCAUACGUGAACCUAUCUCGGUCUAACUCAACCCUGCCCACGGCUCCCGGCCCGGGUCAGCCUCGGCACGGCCAGGCCUCGCGCCCCUAUAAAACCCACCCGAGACCCUCUGCAUCAUUCCCUGUUACCGCCCCUCCUUUUCCUGUGCAGCCCCGCCACCAGGAGGCAAAGCGCCCUGGCCUCCCCAUUGCUCUACCGCUCACGACGCCAUCUGCUCGCGCCAUCCCUACGCAGCCAGCGCUGCCGCCCGAGCUUGCUCGCGCAGCCCUGCAUCGGCCCCCAUGCUCAACUCCCCCUUCUAGCCGUAUCUCUCUGCUGAGCCCGUGCGCCGCCACCAUGAGCGCCGCCGCCCCUCGCGCCUCUACGCACCUGAGACCCGCGUCAUGACCCUGCCCUACCGCCACGAGCCCGAGUCCCUUGCAGCCAUACCCUCCCCCUGCAAGCCGCCCCUGCCUAGCACCGCCGCCCAGAAACAGAAGAUGAGCAGACCGCCGCCGCCCCUUCCGGCUCCGAAAUCCGGUCGCCUCGCUGCUCCUCUGCUGCGGGUAAGGCAUCAAAUCGGACCCCCUACCUCUCCUCUUUCGUUCCCCCAAUUUCCUAGGUCUGCCGUGCCUGAAAUCGAUGGAUUUUGACCAGCGAGAGCUGCCAGCCACCAUGGAUGUGCUGCAAAGCUUUUUGCAGAUUAGCCCCUUGGGAAAGCUGUAAUUUUUCUGUUCUUUCUUGUGUCUUGCAAACUUCGUAGAAAACCCCCUAGAUCUAUUGCAUCUUUUCAACACAGCCCCACUCGUGAUCUUUUUCAGAUCUAACCCUGUUUUUCCCCUAAUUUCAAGCACAGUUUACUGUGUCUUGCAGAUCUUCCCUGCUAGCCCCGGAAAUCUAUAGUUAAUCACAUAUAGGUCCUUGCAACCUUGUUUCGUGCGUAGUUUCCUCGUUUUAGAUCCGUUUGGAUCCGUUCUUUUUGCGUUAGUCUUCUAAAACCCUAAGCUAUUGUUUUGUAGCAUUGUUGUAUUGUUGUUCCUGUUUUCAAAAUUAAAAAUAGAUUUAAUUUGAUUAAUGUCCUCUCAUCUAGUUUUUCCAAUUAAAAUCCAAUUAAAUCUUUACUCCGGUUUUCUUAAUUAAUGUUAAUUUGAUUAAUAUCAACUUAAAUGUCUUUUAGUUAUAAUUUUUUAAGUUCAACAUGAACCAUAAAGUUCAACAUUUAGAUGCUCUCACCAGUUUCUUUUAUAAUUAAUUGUUUAAUUAGGAUAAUUUGUACAUAGACAAUUAUAUAUAAAAUUUGACUAAGUUGUACCUCAUCUUUAUAAAUACAAAUAUAAUAUGAGUUAAUUGUUAUUAGGGAUAUUGUCUUUUGAAUAUCUUUUACUUUAGUUUUCUAAAUUAAAAUAAAUGAAAGGCUAUAUGCUUUUAUUUCUUUUAUAACACAAAUCUUCCGAUAGUUGUUUCUUUUCAACCCUAGCUCCGUUUUCCGUGUUUCUUGCGCCCUCUUGACCGUAGCAACGAGCCUUAUCCUUUAGUAUGCUCUUUUUUUAAGCUUUUCUUUCAUUUGGUGUGUUGUUCUUAGUUCUUCUUGUUUGUUUGUCUAUUGCUGUGCUUCAGUCCGAUGCUCGUUUGACGUUAAAAGGAGCGCAGUCCAAGAGCAUUGAAGAUUAAGAGUUCCAAGAACAAGAGUUGAAGACCCUGAGCAGCUAUUCCUUGGAAGAAAGGCAAGUGUUUCCUUGAUCAUGCUUUUGUCCUAAUAAUCGCAAUAAAUAUAACUUUUUUUAUGCAUGCAUGUGUCUUAACUUGAUGGAUCCUAAUUAAGGAUAUGCCUAGUCUUUAUGAUCAUUCCUUGUCAACCUGGGUUUUAUCUUUUUGUUGGGUAGCUAUGCUAGUUGCUUAUACUCUUGGGAUACGGUUGGUUAUCUAAACAAUGAUAUACCUGUUUUACUUCAUGUUCUUGGAUAAUUUGUGUUGGGAAUCACAAGAUCAUAUGGUUAAUCGGAACAUGGAGAACCACCCAAGAAAAUAGUGUAACCACAAUACUAUAUGGCUGUGGUCUUGGCUGAUUAAUUAGAAACACUAGCUUAUGACGAUCUUACCGAAAGGGCAAGAGGGGUUGCAUUGUUGGGGUAUAGUUUGGUCCUCUUGAGGCUUUGAUAUGUGGUCCUUGGCUAAGGCACUUCCUCAUUAGGAAGAGUUAUGACCGUUUUGACUUGAAACCUUAGCGGAUUGUCACAAGUUAGGGAAUCUUUGUGAAGGCCUCGUAGUGAAUCCCUUACCACUCACCUUGGAAGUGUUCAAGAGGCUAGCUACCUCGGGCAAAUUGGAAGACAUGAAUUGUGGGUAAAGUGUACAACCUCUGCAGAGUGAAAACAGAUACAUCAGCCGUGCUCACGGUUAAGAGCGGCUUGGACCCUCACAUGAUUAAUGAACUUGAAGAUGAAUUAAAUCAUGAACCAUGUAUAUGGUUUUGGAUAUGCUUAUGCUGUAUCUCUUCUCUAUCUUUUAAUGUGGGUUUUGGUAUGAACUUAUACCUUAGUAAUUAGGUGCUAAUAAAACUUGACCAACUAAAAUUGCUUAUCGUAGUAAGCCGGUCAGCCUUUCCUUGCUUUUGGCCUUCAUGUCAUAUAAUUCCCAACACUUGCUAAGUACCAACCAUAAGUGUACUCAUGCUUGUUAUAAUUGCUGCUCAAAAGAGAAAGUUGAUGUGAACUCUUUUUAAGAUGAUGCUGAGUUCUAAGCCUACACAACCCCGGUCGAUUGCCUGUGAAGUUGAAGCCUUUUUUUCCAGGAUAAGCUGUAUACCUCUGAUAAUCUUUUAUAGUCUUUUAGUUAUCUUUUUGUGAUACUGUUGCUAAUUAUUCACUAACGAAAUCACUAUAUUUAUGGAACUUGAUCCUGGCAUACAUACAGUCAUGCAUUCGGUUUUGUCCUUAAAACCAGGUGUGAUAGCACCGCGUGUGGCGCGACCUUGAUGCCGAAGUCACGACAGCCGGAAAACGUGGUUUCCAAACCCCAAUCUCCAACAUCACGGGUGUGAUGGCCAUACCAGCUACCAGCCAAGACCAAACUGCACAACCAGCUCUGCGAGUGGCUCAGAAGGUGUGUAUACAGCUCGAUCAUCAAAACCCAGCUCCAUCGCUACCGGCCAACCAAGAGCAAGUAGGCAAAAGUCAAAGUCAUCCACGGGCCAGCAGGAUUACCAGGGGAACCCUCUACAAUGCCCUGGAGGCAAUGGAGGCAACAAUGACGCUGCACAAGGUAGUUGCUCCGCAGGCGGGAGGCCACGGCCACCUCCAAGGGGCAACCAGGCACCACCACCUCCACCUCCACAAAGACUCGCCGGCAGCUAUAAUCAUCGACGACAACUCGAGAACCUACCAACAGAAGAUCUCCGCGGAAAGAUUAAUGAUGGGCACGACGUUUGCACCAUCAUUGAAGCCCGACGAGAAGAGCGAGCUGCAGCCAAUAGCUACCGCGUACCAGACAACAGUGAUCACUUUCCAGCAUUCACGCACCGAUUUAGCCUGUACCAAUACCCAGAGGGCUUCAAACCGAUCGGCAUCACCAAGUACGAUGGCAAACAAGCUCCUCAGCAGUGGCUUAGGUGCUGCUCUACGGCCAUAGAAGUUGCAGGCGGCUCCAACACCACCAAGGUCAUCUACUUCCCAAUGGCCCUAGAGACUGCCCCACUCAUAUGGAUGGAGAGCCUUAGGAAAGACUCCAUUGACUCUUGGGAUGAUAUGAAGACUGUCUUGUAACACCCUAAUGUAAAAUUUCAAGAUUUAUAAUGGAUUUAAUUUGGCUCCAUAAAUUUUCUAAGGAUUUAUUUUGCCUAGCUUGCAUUUAAUCUAAUUAAAUUACACAAGUAAUUAAAAUUUAUUUUAGGUUCAACAUGUUUGUGCAUUCAUGCUGGUGCAUAAGUUUUUAUUUGAAUGAGUGCAUAGGGUUUGAAUUCAAAAAUCCUUUUGAAUUCAAAUAGAUAUGAGUUUCAAAGGGGCUAGAAAAAGAAAAGGGGAGGAAAUGGGAAAAGCAAGCCUAGCUCCGAGCCCAGCCCGGCCUGCUCCUCUCUUCCCCUUGGGCCGGUUCCCUUCCCCACUGCCCACUUCUCCUUUUCUUUCCCUCUCCCGCGUGUGGCCCACCUGGUCCGAUCCACCCCCUCCCCGCGCACAGCCCAGCUCGGCCCCGCUCGCAUGGCCUCCUCUCCGCGCGCUCUCCCUCACUCUCUCUCCCUCUGGCACACGGACCCCACCUGGCAGCGCCUCUUCUUCUUUCCUUUCUUCCUCCUUCCUCCACCGGCUGUGCAACGUCCGGCCCGAUCCUCGCCGGCCUUUCCCCGAGCGCGCCCCCUCCCGAGAUCCCCGGCCUUCCCCUUUAAACGCGCCCGCAAACCCCACUGCACCCUUAUCCCCUACCCAUGGCCGCCGCCCCAAACCCUAAACCUCUGACUGCUUGCUCCGCCGCGUAGAGCUUCCUGCCCCACCGUGCACCGGCUGCCCUGGUGCGCUGCAGCCACCAAGAACCCCCUCUAGAGCUCCCUCCCGUGCCCAAGACCGACUCCGAGCCCCCUAACCUCGGCCUUCGACUUUGCGCAUGCCGGAAUUGAGCCCGGACGCCGUCUCUUGUGAGCUCGCUGACGUGGCAAUUGCCCACCGUCGGUGCCGCUCCGGCCAGGCUGACCCCUCCAUUGGCUUCGCAGGGACCCACACGCCGACCCGUGGAGCCUAGGAGCCCGGAGCAGGCCCACAUCGAUCUCGUCACCGACCUCCGCCCGUGCGCCGCCGCUCGAACCUCGCCACCGGCCAUCCUGCGCUGCUUCUCCGCCCAAAUCAAGACCUCGGUGAGCAUCACGUCUUCCCCUGGAUCCUUUUUUGCUAGGUGUCAUGGCCUUUAGUUUUCCCCAACGGCCGGAACACCGUUCGCCAGUGCUCCGCCGCCACGUAGAUCCGCAGGUCACCAUGGCGAGCCCCUGCAAUGCCGCGCGUGCCCUGUUCCCGGCAUACAUUAGCACCGUGCAUGCACACUGCCCCUAUUCACCACCGUUCCGGGCCUAGAGCAGCCUGAACGCGCGCACGCCGGCGAGCGCCACCGCGCCGAACCGCCUCCGCCGUCGCAACCGCAUCCCCGAGCACCCCCGAGGCCCGCAAGUGUCCCAGGUGGAUCAUGCGUGUCGCGCUGAUCACGCCAGACCCAGGCCCUGCCCAAUUUGACCCCCGGAGUGCCGUGUACGGUGGAUUUCGGUGAACCCCGAGCCGCGCCGCCGCGGGAAUGGUCGCCAGCGUUUACCGCCGCCGCCAGUGCCCCCCGACCCAUCUUGAACCGUCAGAUCCGCGAUCAAUGUGUGAGGUUAGAUCCUGCGUACCGCUUUGCCCAGAGCUAUCUGAUCGGAAGCCAAUGCCCAAGAUUAGAUCUAGGUUAAGAGGGGGUCCGGAUCGUCAGAUCCAGAUCCGACGGCCGAAAUCCCUAGAUACCGGUUCAUGAGUUAGAUCGGGUCCGAGCCGUUGGAUUUGGAUCCAAUGGCCUAGAUUAGAAGGUACCCCUUCAGCCGUGGCAGUUUUGCUAAAGAGCCCCUGAGUUUUCCCGAAAACAACCCGCAGUCCACCCCCGUUCAAAAGUAUUUCCAGAUAAGCCCUGUUUUUAGCGUUUAGGCCCCUGAGCUUCUUAAAUAUAGAACCCGCCGUCCAUCUCCUGUGUUUUCAUGGGUUAGGCCCUAAGUCUACCCUUUAAUUAUGUUUAGACCCUUGGUUUUUGCAUAGAAACCCCUGGAAACUUUAGUUUUCUCGCAGAAAGGUCCCUAGACCCAGUUUUAACCCUAGUUUUCGCGCCUUAGCUCCGUUUUAGGUAGUUUUCACGCUCACGCGAUCGUUGUAAUGUGUAGAAUAGUUUUAGCUUAGUUUUGUGUGCUGUUUUACUAUAUUGUUGCACUGUUUCUUAUCUUUUGCUAUUGUUUGCAUGUAUGUGCAUGUGUGGACCAUGUUUUGGCGUUGCGAUCGUGAGUAGACGUUGAGCCACCGGAAGAGUACCAGGAGCUACCUUCUUCAGAGCCCUUUGAGCAACAGCAGGAGAACUUUGAGGAAGGCAAGUAUAACAUGAACAUCCUAUCACUUUUAAAUACAAUUUCAUACUGCAUUUUAAUACUGUAUACCUAUAAGGAUGUCCUAGCCACAUUUAUCCUUCAUAUAAAUACCUUGGGUUGCAUUUUGGUUAAGUUGUGCUAGGUGCUGCGCUCUCACACAUUAUGGUCCUUUUUAAUUAAAUUUGAUUAAUGGUAUACACAACUUGAUCCUGAGAGUGGCCCUCUGUGCUGUGUCUUGAGCGGCUCACGUCUCGUUAAAAUAUGUUGUUAGAGAAACAUGGUUAAGGGGCCAGCAUGGUGCUUAGUGCUUGGUUGGCCACUCUCCAUAAGGAUCGGUUCAUAGAGCGACAACCUGGGACAACCGCGCAACCACGAGACUGGAAUGGGACGGUCUUGACUUACUAAUUAGGUCAUUUUGGUUUGGGAGUAACUUACCUGCGUGGCAAGAGGGGUGGUAAGCUUCAAUGGUCCCUGCUCCUCCGGCUUGGUCUGUGCUAUGUGCUUGUACCCCCGUGAGGUGGGCCCCAUCGACGCUGAUCCAGAAACCUUAGCGGUUACACCUUACUAACCUGAUCCUUUGUAACGGUCUCGUAGUGCGCUUGCUAGUCAUCUCACCUAAGGAAGUGUGAUGAACAACUAGCGUAGCUCACGACUUGUGGAUAAAGUUGUGCAACCUCUCGAGAGUGUAAAACUGGUAUACUAGCUGUGCUCACGGUCAUGAGCGGCCCAGAUCCUCCGUUUGAUUAGUGGGGUUUACCUUUGGUGGUUUGGCUUGGUUUUCAGUAGACUCAUGAUUGAUUUUGAUUAAUUAUUAUGCAACUUGGGUUAUGGUAAUUCAUCCACUGGUAGUAAACAGCUUUAAAUAAAAUUUGCCAAGAUUAAAAGCUAAUGUAGUUGAGUCAGCUAACCGUAGAGCCUCAUAACUCAUGUUAUACAAGUUGUGUACCCACACUUGCCUUCUCUACUCUUCUGUUCUCUUUGGGAUAUCUUCGACUGCUGCUCAGUACCGGGUGACAUGGAGGACUACAUCAGCGGACUUGACGAUUUCUAUGCGUUUGUCUCCCAGCCGACGUCCCUGUGGUGCCUUGUUCUUCAUGUAUUUAUUUUACGCUUCCGCAUUCCUUGAACUGAUUCUUGAUUCAGUUGUAAUAAAGAUAUUCGUUUACAAUUUAUACGCUUUUAUUUCGAGAUAUGUGUUGUGAUAUCUGUCAGACCCGGGGCCACGGGACUGGGUACAUGACGUAGUUUAAAAAGGUUUAAGAGACUAAGUCCGUCUUAUCUCUUAUUUAUCUCGUUUAUCUCUUAUUUAUUCUGUUUAAAUAGGAGAUAGAGCUAACUGAUACAGAGGGAAUCUACUCAAGAUAUAUUCUGGUAUGAUUCCUCAGCUGGUGUUGGUUAGUAUCUUUGUAACCCUGGCCUCUCGGAUAUAUAAGGGAGGUCAGGGACCCCUCUCAAAACAUGAUCUCUAGGUCAUUCUACACCAAAGGCAAUACAAAACACCAUACAGGACGUAGGGUGUUACGCAUCUUGCGGCCUGAACCUGUCUAAGCUUUGUGUUCCUUGCACCUUCGAGUUCCUGAUCUCGGCGUCUCCUCACCCAAAACUUACCAUCUUGGGUAUAUCCCAUGAUGGGCAGCCGGUUAAACACCGACAGCUGGCGCGCCAGGUAGGGGUGCGCGUCGAAGAUCCACCGGCGAGCUCGAUGGCAUCUUUCAAAUUUAUCAGGUCAGUUCCCUCUCAGGGUAUGACAUUCAUUUUUGGCGCGUGGGUCUGCAUCGCAGAUGGUGUGGGCAACUUUCGGCCAUUCCUCGUCGACAUGAAGCCAAAGAUUCCCGCUGCGGAUCUCCGCAGCGACCUUGACAAGUUCAUCGACGAUUUCGACAACUUGCCAGCCUGUGCUUUUGCAACAAGGAUUGAGAUGGAGUCUGCUCCAGGCUCGACUUCAUCCAUUGUUGUGGCAACUUCCCUUGGGUUGGACUUGUUCCAGUCUAGGAUCUGCAUAGCCGAUCCCAACUUGGCUCAUGCAAAUCGGCCACUGAUCUUCAGGAGGCCAACGUCUCUGGGUCCCUCUCCUUGUUAGAGAAGGACCUGGACUUUAUGCUCCAGGACGAAAGGCCUGAAGCCACCGCGUGUCGGGGGGCUUCGGGUUGUUCUGGUACCGGUGAUCAGGUGAUCACCUCCUUGCCGAAGGGGCGCAUUGUGCAUUGGAGGGGCAUGAUGCUCUCCGAUCUACUCGAGGCAGAGGGUCGACUUGUGGCUCACCUCGAGCCCUUGCCCUUUCAAGAGGGCAGGCCAUUGGCUACCACAGCGGAGGGGUCGACUAAACUAGUCGAUGAAAGCUCUCAUGAGCUUUCCUCCCGCCAGGUGCUAAUGGCGGAAGAAGGCGAGGAUGAUGGGGAUCUUCCCGUCGUCAACUUUGAAGCGGUCUCCGAAGAUGAGAUCACGGCCAACGCCAGCGAUGAGAACGACGCCGAUCUAGAGGCGCGGAGGGCCAGGAACAGGGCCCGCACAAUCCGGCGGAGAAGGGCCAACGAGCGUAGGCGAUCUAUGCAUCGCGAGCUUGACCCUGAGUUCGCCGCCGUAAGCGAACGGGGUUUCAGGACUCCGGUGGCCAACAUCGCUAGGGUAACGGCCAUCCUCGAGCGCAGUCAUGAUCCGGAAGUGCGUCAAGCACUCCUUUACGCGGAGAAGGCUUGGAUCCAGCUGGAUCAGCACAACCCGGCGUCCACCAUCAGGGAGGAGCGCGUGCGUGAGAGUCGGAGUCAGGCUCACAGCUGAACGGCUGGAGGUCGUCCUUGACACCAGCUCAGCAACGACAACGCUCGCGGAAGCCAGGCCCCUGGCGGGAGGCAGCAGCCACCAGAAGGGGGUCAUCCGUGGUAGGCCAAUCAUCGACUUCCUCCAGAGGACCUGCGCCAGCACAUCAAUGAAGGUCGCGACGGGUGGACCGUGAUCUCCUCAAGGCGCAAGGUCCAUGAAGAAGUUGAAAAUGAAGGUACUGACUGUAGCGACCGAUUCCCUGCCUUUUCUGCACAUUUCAGCAGCUACAAGUAUCUAGAGGGUUUCAAACCGAUCGGCAUUACCAAGUACGACGGCAAGCAAGCUCCUCAGCAGUGGCUUCGUUGCUACUCCACGGCCAUUGAGGUCACAGGGGGCUCGAAUAUCACCAAAGUCGUCUACUUCCCGAUGGCUUUGGACCCUGCACCGCUCACUUGGUUGGAAAGCCUCAGCAACAACUCAAUCGACUCCUGGGAGCGCCUCAAGAAGGUCUUCAUCGACAACUUCCCGGGAGCGAUUGCUUGUGCAGGUACUCGUCACGAUCUUGCUCAGUGUAAGCAGGAAUGUAAUGAGCUUCUGCGGUCCUACACACAUCGCUUUUUCGACGUCCGCGCCACCAUUGCCAACAUCUUGGAGGAAGACAUCAUCGAUUGUUUCUAUAACGGCAUCACCGACCCGGGCAUCUAUUGGGAUUUCGGGUGGAACAGGCCGAAGACUGUUGCGGGCCUUCGUGAUAUGAUGCAUGAUUGGUUCGAACUGGAGGAGAAGAUGCGGGAGCGGUUCCCGCGGCGUCAAGAUAGCAAUCUGCGGCGCCCAAACGACAACCGCAACGACAAAGGCCAGCGGGACUUUUCGGGUCCACUCCGGAAAUGAAAGCCAGAUGAUGUCAUCGCGGCUAUUGAUCGUCCUUCGCGGGGCAAGAAGUCGAUGACGCAGGAGGAGUUCGAGAAGCUCCUGCAGAAAAAGUGCCCAUGGCAUCCAGGUGCCAACCACGCCGCCAUUAACUGCUACCACCUUCGGAGGACGUUCACCAACUCCGGCGGUGGAAAGAAGAACAAGAAGCCUGCGGACAAAGAACCCGAGGACGACGAUCAAGAGGACCAUGGGUGCAACCCGAAGUUUCAAGACCGUUCGAAGGUUGUCAACGUCAUCUUCGGGGGAGAUGAGGAUUUUUGUUCCAGGCGGGACCAGAAGCUGCUUCUCCGGGAGAUUUUGUCCAUCGAGCCGGCGGUACCACGACCACUCCGUUGGUCGAAGGUCCCCAUCUCGUUCUCUCGUGAUGACCAGUGGACGAGCUUUUCGGAGCCCGGUAAGUUCCCCUUGGUUCUGGAUCCUGUGGUGGCGGAGGUCAAGCUCACCAAGGUCCUCAUCGAUGGCGCGAGCGGGCUCAAUCUCAUUUUUGUCAGCACUCUGAAGAAAAUGGGCUUGGAUUUCAAGGACGUGCUGGUUCCCAGCAAGUCCCCCCUUCUACGGCAUCGUCCCAGGGAACGCGGCGCACCCGCUUGGUACGGUAGUCCUCCCAGUCACCUUCGGCACGCGGGAGAAUUAUCGUCCUGAGUUUAUCAAAUUCGAAGUGGCUACCUUCGAAUCUUCUUAUCACGCAAUAUUGGGUCGUCCGGCACUUGCCAAGUUUAAGGCAGUGUCGCAUUAUGUUUAUCUGCUUCUUAAGAUGCCAGGACUCAGUGGAGUACUCACCCUCCGUGGCGACUUGAAGAAGUCGUACGACUGCAAUCAGGAGGCGAUCCAGUAUGCUUCGACUACUCGCGUGCCAGAUGCUUCAGGAGAAGUACUCGCGGCCGCGCAGCAGUUCUCCCAGUCCGGGCUGGAGAUUCCCUCCAAGAAGGCCAGCAAGUCGAGCAUCCAGUCGACUGAUGAUGUGGCCCUCAAGACGAUCCAGCUUCAGGAGGGAGAUUCAUCUAAGACCGCUGUCAUCGGCGUGGGCUUAGGUGACAAAUAGGAACUCACGCUCGUCAGCUUUCUUCGGGCUAACCGAGACAUAUUCGUGUGGAAACCAGCAGAUAUGCCAGGGGUGCCCAGGGAGUUGAUCGAGCAUGCUUUGAAUGUACACCCGAAGGCUACGCCUAAAAAGCAACGCCUGCGAAGGUUUGCCCAUGAUAAGCGUGAGGCCAUUAAACGGGAGAUCACUAAACUUCUCGCGGCUGGAUUCAUUAAAGAAGUAAUCCAUCCAGAGUGGGUAGCGAAUCCUGUUCUUGUAAAGAAAAAGAGCAAUGAAUGGAGAAUGUGUGUCGACUACACUGAUCUCAACAAGCACUGCCCAAAGGACCAUUUUGGGCUGCCGCGCAUUGACUAAGUUGUCGAUUCGACGGCUGGUUGUGUCCUUCUUUGUUUUCUUGAUUGUUACUCAGGGUAUCAUCAGAUCGCGCUCAAGGAGGAGGACCAAAUCAAGACCGCAUUCAUCACCCCAUACGGGACAUAUGCCUACAAAACCAUGUCCUUCGGGUUGAAGAAUGCAGGAGUGACCUAUCAGCGUGCGAUCCAGAUGUGCUUCGCAGAUAAGCUGCACCGGAACGUUGAAGCUUAUGUGGACAACAUGGUCAUCAAGACCAGGGAGUCCAGCAACUUGAUUGCAGAUUUGGAGGAAACAUUUAGUAGUCUGCACAUAUUUUGGUGGAAACUCAAUCCCACCAAGUGCGUUUUUGGAGUACCUUCAGGGAAGUUGCUCGGGUUCAUCGUCAGCAACCGGAGCAUCGAAGCCAACCCUGUAAAGAUCACGGCCAUCACUGAUAUGGAGGCUCCGGCCACAAUCAAGGAUGUGCUGAAAUUAACAGGUUGUAUGGCGGCCCUGAACAGGUUCAUCUCCCGACUCGGGGAGAGAGGACUACCGUUCUUCAAGCUCCUGAAACGCCAAGAUAAGUUCCAAUGGACGGAGGAGGCCGAGCGGGCCCUGCAGGAUCUGAAACAUCAUCUUCAGUCACCUCCGAUCCUUACGGCACCGUUGCCAGGGGAUGAUCUACUACUUUACAUCGCGGCAACAACUCAUGUUGUCAGCAGUGCUAUUGUAGUCGAGCGAGAUGAGGAAGGCCAUGCGUUUGGCAUGCAGAGGCCUGUCUACUUCGUCAGUGAGGUCCUCUCCGAAUCCAAGGUACGGUAUCCAGCUGUUCACAAGCUUUUAUAUGCAAUCUUGAUCACAUCCAGAAAGCUAUGCCAUUACUUCAACGAGUACAAGAUCACUGUGAUCACGGACUUCCCGUUGGCGGAUAUUCUCCAUAAUCAAGAUGCCACGGGGCGCAUAUCCAAGUGGGCAGUGGAACUGGGGGCUUUGUCAAUCGACUUCAAGCCACGCACUGCAAUCAAGUCACAGGCUCUAGUCGACUUCAUGGCUGAAUGGAGGGAGAAUCAAGUCCCAACUCCAGUAGACAAGCCAGAGCAUUGGACCAUGUAUUUUGAUGGGUCUCUCAAGCUCGACGGAGGCGGCGCUGGUGUUCUGCUUAUUUCUCCAUGAGGUGAACAAUUGAAAUAUGUCCUUCAGAUCCUAUGGGCGGUAUCCAACAAUGAAGCCGAGUAUGAAGCCUUGCUUCACGGGCUUCGUUUGGUGAUAUCACUAGGGAUCAAGCGACUACUUGUGUAUGGCGAUUCUCUUCUUGUCGUUCAACAGGUCAACAAGGAAUGGGACUGCAACAAGGAGACGAUGGCUGCUUAUGUACAGGAAGUGCGCAAGUUGGAGAGCAAAUUCUCCGGCUUGGAGGUUCACCAUGUAUUGCGGGAGCACAAUUUUGGCGCGGAUAUCCUGUCCAAAUUGGGGUCAACACGUGCUCAGGUCCCGCCGGGAGUUUUCAUCCAAGAGCUCAAGCAGGCAUCCAUCAUGUCUUCUCCGCAGGUAACCAUCGACGCGGGUCCCCAACAACCCGAUCGAGAUGCUGGGGGAGGACUGGCGAGAGGCUUUUAUUGACUUCAUCAGAGAUCAAAGGCUACCAGUGGGAAUUGACGCCAGGAGCGCGGAGGCGGCACGCGUCCUGCGCAGAAGCAAGGGUUUUGUCUUGGUCGACGGUAAGCUCUACCGGCGCGGCGCUCGGUCAGGAGUUCUCAUGAAGUGCGUCACAAAGGAAGAUGGCUACGACAUACUGCGGGAGAUCCACGGGGGCGUCUGCGGAAAUCAUGCGGCUUCAAGAACGCUGGUGGGGAAAGCAUACAGGACCAUUUUCUGGUGGCCCACUGCAGUGACCGACGCGGAGGAUCUCGUGCGCAGCUGCCAAAAUUGUCAAUUCUUCGGCAAACAGACUCAUGUCCCAGCCCACAGCCUCAUCACCAUACCGCCAUCCUGGCCUUUUGCUUGUUGUAGCCUCGACAUGAUUGGCCCUUCACAAUGGCGCCAGGCGGUUUCACCCAUGUUCUGGUGGCUAUCGACAAGUUUACUAAGUGGAUUGAGUACAAGCCGAUAGCCAAGCUCACGCCAGAUCGGGUCGUCAACUUCAUCUCAGAUAUUUUGCAUCGUUUCAGCUUCCACAAGACCAUCAUCACGGACUUGGGAUCAAAUUUCACGGCCAACCAGUUCUGAGAGUUCUGCGAGAAUGCUUGCAUCGAAGUUAAAUAUGUCUCGGUCGCAUACCCAAGGGCCAAUGGACAAGUCGAAAGGGUGAACGGCCUGAUAAUUGUCGGCCUCAAGAAGAGACUUUAUGAUGAAACAGCAAGAAGGGAGGCAAGUGGGUGCAUGAGCUGCCACAUGUCAUCUGGGUGCUUCAGACUCAGCCGUCCAAAGCCACAGGACACACGCCUUUCUUCCUCGUAUACGGAUCUGAAGCUAUUUUACCAGCCGAUAUCAUGUGGAAGUCUCCAAUGGUCGAAAUGUAUAAUGAAGGCGAGGCGGACGAAGCGAGGCAGUUAGAGCUCGAUCCUGUGGCAGAAGUUCGCUGCACCGCUCUUGUUCAAUCAGCCCGAUACCUGCAGGGGAUCUGGCGAUAUCAUGAUCGCAACGUCAGGGAGCGGUCAUUCAACGUUGGUGAUUUGGUCUUGCGUCGCAUUCAGGAUGAAUCCGGCCUACACAAGCUCAACUCAAGGUGGGAGGGCCCGUUCGUCAUCAAGCAGGUCACAAGGCCAGGGUCAUAUCGGCUACAAUAUCCUGAGGGUCAGGAUGUCCCGAACUCCUGGAACAUUCAGAACCUGCGCAAGUUUUACCCAUAAGAAGACGCUCGGAGAUAGCUGAAUCCCCGGGGGAUUAGAAGAUCUCCUUUCCUUGAAUCAAUUUGGAGGCUAUGUGCCACAUGAUUCGAGUUGAACAUUCCCUUUUGGGCGCACGGUGGCCGCGGUCACGUGCUACAUUUGUAUAAAUAGACUUCCUGUCGUAAAUGUUACGGAGGCUAUGGCCAUGAUCAUGUCUCAUUGACUUCAUUUUUCGACGGUACCCUCCGCCCCGCCCAAAUCCUCUACAUAUCGAUUUCCGCCGCGACCUUGGAUGGUCGCACGUGACAGCAGUCGCAUUUUCCCCAACAUAAUCGAUACGUUCGACUGGUUUAUUCCCAGUUUGUUGGAUGAGCUCGUGCAAAGAGCUGCCUCGACUACAUCCUACGUGGUUGCACCCAUAAUAGUCUCGUUCCUGCCUAGAGCACGGCAUACCAGCGGCGAAGCCCGCAUUCGCUCCCAGCAAGUCCGAUCCGUCCAUCCGGGUCCUAUCUAACUUGCGGAGCGCGCUCCUAUGAGGAGCGACCCUGACUACGUCCAGAGUCGAUGCACUCGGGGUAGUUUUGCCUUAAGCAUGGCAAUCGCGCGACGAUGCUCGCGUUCUUUUCUAACAGUUCUAGACCCACGAGUUCGGAUUGUGGACAACUUGUUAGAUAAGUUCCUACGUGGAGCUAUCGCUACCUUUAGGGUCGUUGCUCUCAGGGUAGUGUCUCUACUUAAACCUUGUAAGCCUUGAUUCCAAUUCAGCCUAGGCACAUACACAAGCAGAGACAUCAAAAGAAACCAUAUAUACAAGGAAGUGAAUACUUGUUUUCAGUGCCCUAAUCCUGCAUUACACUUUGCACUAUACGUUCUGACACAGGUUGGGCUUCUAGGAGGUAUCUGUCUAAUUGAUCCUCGGUGCAGUCUGCCGCCAUGCCUUGAGCAAAUAUCUCCAGCUGCGCGCUUGGUAGGAAGGACUUCAUGAUUGCGAGGGCGUUGUUGACGCAUGUGACAGGUGCCUCGGAGAGGAAUUUGAUUACUUUCUUUGGGGCCUUGCGAAGCCGCUCUAGCAGGGGCUGGGGGUUUGUUUCGCCUUCUUCUGGUGGAUCCACCAUGUCCACCAGCUCCUAGGCGGCCCCCCUGAGGUCUUCGAGUUCUUUGCCUAGCGUCUUGAUUCACUGAAGGUUGUCGACAAACUGUCGCUCAGUGUCGCCGAUCAUCUUCUGCAACCUCUCGACGUCAUCUGUACGGCGAUAGAGUAGGUUCUUCACGUCAGUAAGUAGCUCUUCUUUACUCAUUAAGAUUCUCCUAAGUUCUAUGGUGGAAAGCUUUUUAGAAUCCAGGUUGAGUCAUACAGUGCAAGUACCCGAGGGAAGCAAUGGCUUACCUUGGUGCGCUUUCUUUUGCUCCUUGAGCUGCUCCUGGUGCGCCUGUUUUUGUGCCUCAAGCUCCUUCUUCUGUUCCGUGAGUUGUUGCUGGAGCUCGAUGGUGACCUUCUCGAGAUGCGAGUUCUCCGUCCUCUCGUCAUCAAGGCAUCUUCUCAGGGCAGCAAGUUCCUUGCGGUCGAAGGCAAGGGUCUUCAGUUCUUCUGCUUGUUUCUGAGAGUGGGCGAUCACACUCUGCAUAAAAAGGGAAAUCCGGAUAAGCAACUCGAUAUAGUCACUGGCAGGAAAGUGUCCAGGUCUUACCAUGGCAAAGUCAUGCGCCUUCUUGAGGUUCUCUAUGUUGCCGUCUGUCAGCAGCAGGUCACCCGCCAGGUCGGCGGUGAUGGCGUCUCGACAACCCAACCCGGCCAGCAGCAGCUCAACGGGUCUCCUGGAGGACCCCACGGCUUCUUCUGUAGUUGGCUGCUGAGCACCUGCAAUCACAAGUAUUCUCAGCAUACAGCAUGCGGAUCCAGGUUGCUAGCCGGGGCGGUCAGAUGCUCACCUGUGCCAUCCGUAGGAGCGGCGCUAGGGGCCAUGACCUGUUUCUCGCCACCAGCCCCGACCUCGACUUGUCGGAGCUCGGGAGGCGGCAGGUCGGGCAGCGUCGUGUCCGCCUCGGGGGCUGGCUCCGCAGGCGCUGGCCUCUCUGGGGCCGACGGCUCGGGGGCUGACGCAACUGUGACUGGCCCAGCGCUUGAGGACUCCUCUCUGGUCGUAGACCCGGGGGCUGGGGUAGUCGACGCUGGUGUCAGCUGGAGGUCCGCGGCACUUGCAGCUCUAACGAAGCCGAAGUCAGUCAACACAGAAGUCGAAAGAUCAAAAUAUUUGCUGUGCAGCCAGAGGCAGACUUACAGUACAGAUUUCUUCUUGAUGGCCCUCUUCAUCCACACGGCCUGACGCGGCGUCCCCGUUGCUGGCGGCGGGGCUUCACCAGCCAACGGCGCGGUCCCCGCCACGGCAAUGGUGACGGCUGCGGCGGCCGAUGGGGUUGUCUCUUCUUUUUCGGGCUCGGCUCGGGAGGAGGAGCUGGAAAGAGUACAAGAGGACAUUGUAAGUACGACAUAAUUUCAGCAUAUGGCAAUACAGUAUGGCAAACAACAAGUACCCGGAAGAUUCGACUUCUUGUGCCUUCCGCUUCCGCACCAUCCGAUGACCUUGCGGCACCAGUGGCAAAGCGCCGGUCAACCCCACGAUCGGCUCAGAGGGGUUGUCCAGACAUGUUUCCUCUUCAGCUUCCUCCCCCGCCUGGGAGCCCACAUCCUCGGUGGACCUGCUGCUGCGUUGAGCUGCAGCAAUGCGGGCUCUCUUUGCCUCAACGGCGGCACUGGGAGGAGGUGGUCUGGCCGGGGGAUGUCGGGCCGCGGUGGAUAGCUGCGGUACAGCUCUGUGUGUCCCUGCAGAUGGUUCUUCAGUUAAGUAAUGGAGUAAAAGAGGUUAUUUUCAACAAAAGAAGUCGAAUACUCACUGGUUUGGGCGGAUUUCGCGCGGAAAAUAAUGUUGGCACGUAUGGCACAGCGUCCACAUCUAGCAGCACCCGCUGAACUUGCUGGAGCGCGUCUUCAUCUGGCAAUUCCUCUGCGCACAUGCGAGAAGGAUCAGCAGGGCCUGUGUACUCGAAUCCCAGGCGAUGGCGUUGCUGGAUCGGCUGGACGCGGUGUUUGAAAACUGCGAUCAUGACGGAGGCACCGGUCACUCCCUUCUUCUUCUAUGCCUCUAUGAUGUUCAGCAGUUCCCUGACCUGGUCCAUGUCCCCACCAGAAGGUUCCAGAUUCCACUCCGACCUCACCACAGGCGGCCGGUUCGAUUUUGUGGGGAGGUGGGGAGCAUGGUUCUCGAUAUAAAACCACUGAUUCUUCCACCCGGGAAGGUUGGAGGGGAAUUUGUAUGUGAGAUAUUUGUCGCCGGCCUGCUGACGCAGUUGGAUGCCGGUGCCCCCUGCAAUGGAAAGAUUCUUGGAUGUGGGCUAUGGUUUGAUACAAAAGAGGAAGCGGAAAAGAUCCCAGUGGGGUUCGAUUCUGAGGAAAGCUUCGCAGAAAUAGAUGAAAAUCGAAAUGUGGUAGAUAGAAUUGGGGUUGAGGUGAUGAAGCUCAAGCCCAUAGUAACAGAAGGCCCCGGAAGAAGGAACAAGAGGGGAGGGCCAAUCCCCGUUCGGCAAAAUGGAGAAAUGUGACGAUUUCGUCAACAUUUUCCAUGGGGAAAGGUUCAUGGUAAGAGGGGCGCCAGUUGACAAGGUUCUUUUCUUGCAGCAACCCCUCGGAAACUAGUGUGUUUAGAUCGUUGAGGGAGCACUUACUGUGUGUCCACUUCGCGGUCGAUGGCUGUGCCUCCUUCUUCUUCCCCUCGAUCUCUGCCUUCUUGGGCGCCAUCUCCGAUUCGCUGGCCACGAGAUGCUCGGGGGCUGCGGGGAGAGGGGCGGGGAGGUUGGAGCGGGAGGAUUUCUUUGGGGGGGGGGGGGCGGCGGCGUGUGGCUCUGUUUGGGGAUUUUGGUGGUUCUUAGCAAAAUGCAGAUUGAAAGCACAGUCUUUUCCCACUGUUGUCGCGGGGUUAAAUAACCAGCGGGGUGGGGAAAAGUUACUGUUCCGAAGUUCAAGGGUCAUUUUUUGGGACUAUUCCAAAGAUGAGGGGUCAUUUGGUGGACUGUUUGGAUUAAAUAUUCGCUUAAUCAUUUUUUCAGGGCUAAUUAGUCCGAAAAAAGGGGUUUUUUGGAUUCAUGAUCUAAUGUCCAUCAUUUGUAUCAUUAUUUUGGUAAUUUCUCAAGUUGUCAUUUUUUAACCUGCAUGCCACGGUUUUUGGAUCCUUAUCUCCAAAAUUGUGGGAUUUGGAUUCAAGGCCCGGGGGCUGCGGGAUACGUGGCAUCGACUACUUAUUUUUCAGAUUUCUUUGAAGGAUAAGGAGGAUUACAGACUAAUGGGACCCUCAGCCUGAUUCUCCGAUUCAACCUAAGGCUCGGGGGCUACUCCAUAUGGAGUGCAAUUUUUAAAUCGCACACCAUAAUAAAAAUUCGGGGCAUGAGCACCUCAUAGCUUCGAUGCAGCCAAGCAAGUACUCGAAGAAGGACUUCAAGACGAAGCUUUAGAAGAAGUCGAAGACUGCUUCGGAAGUACUCGAUAAGCCUGCAGUACUCAGCUACGAAGAGCUCGGGGGCUUGUCAGACCCGGGGCCACGGGACUGGGUACAUGACGUAGUUUAAAGAGGUUUAAGAGACUAAGUACGUCUUAUCUCUUAUUUAUCUCGUUUAUCUCUUAUUUAUUUUGUUUAAAUAGGAGAUAGAGCUAACCGAUACAGAGGAAUUCUACUCAAGAUAUAUUCUGGUACGAUUCCUCAGCUGGUGUUGGUUAGUAUCUUUGUAACCCUAGCCUCUCGGAUAUAUAAGGGAGGUCAGGGACCCCUCUCAAAACAUGAUCUCUAGGUCAUUCUACACCAAAGGCAAUACAAACCACCAUACAGGAUGUAGGGUGUUACGCAUCUUGCGGCCCGAACCUGUCUAAGCUUUGUGUUCCUUGCACCUUCGAGUUCCUGAUCUCGGCGUCUCCUCACCCAAAACUUACCAUCUUGGGUAUAUCCCACGGUGGGCAGCUGGUUAAACACCGACAAUAUCUUGAUGAUUCAGUUGUAUAUAUGCGUGACUUGAUCCUGGCGCAUAUAUGAUUGCUCGGUUUAUGUUCUUGUAAAUCGGGUGUGACAUGUCUUCACCGAUAGCUUUCAUGGGCCGAUCAAUCGAGCAGGCACUGGUCACAAUUUGUAACAAUGCAAACAGGAACAUAACGAGCUCCUGCAAUCCUACACCGCCAUCUUCAACACAUGCGCCACCAUCGCCAACAUCUCCGAGUAGGAUGUUAUCGACUGCUUCCACAAUGACAUCACCGACCAAACUGUGGCAGAACCAAUCCUCUUGAAUUAUUCUGGCUCAAGUGCGCUAGUCAUCACUAUAUAGGCGAUACUAACUCAACGCAGUUCAAACGGAACAACCCAUUGGUCUGUCGGGUCACUGCCCGAUUCAACCACGGUUACACAAGAUCGAGGUAGGUUUACCUCGCACGAAGGCGAGUUUACAAUCACAGAACAGCUCACCAACUUUUUUAAUUCAUAGAAAUAUUAAACAUUACUACAUCUGUUUCAAACUUAAAGUAAACUUAUAUAAACAUUGUUUAAAACCACAAGCUAUGCAAGCUUGUUCCGAGUCACAACGGAAGAAAUUAAUACGCGAUUACACACGUCGCGAAAGUUGACACCACGCUCAGCCUGAAACUUGGCGUCAUUCCGGAGGGUCAUUGCCAGCCGGGGACGGAUCCCGCUCCACGGAUCAUCCUAACGGAACAGAGAAUGGCCAGGCUGGACUAUCCGUUUGGUUCUCACAGGCCAUACCUGAAAGACAAACUAUCAAGACUGAGUAUGCUAAUACUCAGUAAGACUUAACCGAGAUUGGGUAUACUUAGCCCAAAGCUAGACCAUGGAGGAUUGAGAGGUUCUGGUUUUCUUUUUCUUGAAAAGGAACAAAGAGUCCCAAACCUCGAUUUGCUAGCUCUCCCUCUUGUCUUUUCCAAGAAUUAGUCCGAUCUUUUCUGUAGACGUUGGCCUACAAUUUUCUACAUGUCCUCAUAAGCCUAGGAUGCCUUGCAAAGAAAAAUAUGCUAGAGCGCCUGUUUGUUUUAGUCGAGUGGAGUGAUAAACUCGGCUAAAGUGUGGAUAUUGAGUAUUUGUGAUUGUGAAAAAUGUUUGAUUUGGAUUUUUUGUUGACUGCAUAGUUUAGAAGUUAAACUUGCUCAUGCAAAUCGACUUUAAUGCAAACUUGACUUAAGUAAUAAAAAUUGAGAUAGACCAUAGGGGGGGUGAAACUGUACACUCUUUACUCUCUACUUUAUCCUGCUAGAGUUUUCUUUCCAGAAUCGUACAAUAUCUGUCUCUUAAAAAUUUCGCUCUGCUGCAAACAGAUGGUGAACACCAGGAGCACCGGCACCGGUUCUGGCCAGCAGGGACAGAACAACCAGGGUACCGAUCAGCCGAUGCCGAUGCCUCCACCUCUGACUCUGGAGCAGUUCUUCCAGCUCCAGAUGCAGAUGAUGGCCACUCUGAACAACACUGUUCAGACUCUGCAGCAGAUCCACACUCAACCUCCACCUCCUCCACUGCAGCAACCCUGCAACAGGCGUGCGGACUUUCUGAGGGGUCAUCCGCCAACGUUCUCCCAUGCGGCUGAUCCACUCCAGGCUGACGACUGGCUUCGUUCGGUGGAGCGCCAGUUAGAUGUCGCUCAGUGCGACGACAGGGAGCGAGUUCUGUACGCAGCAGGGUAGCUGCGAGGCUCAGCUCUCGAUUGGUGGGAGUCCUACCCAGCACGGGACCGCGAUGCCCUCACUUGGGUCCAGUUCCGGGAGCGUUUCAGGAACCACCACAUCCCUGCUGGAGUGAUGAAAAUGAAGCACAAGGAGUUCCUUGCACUUAAGCAGGUAAAUUAGAGUAAAAUCUUUCCGCAAUUCUUUUUUGAGCUCAAGCCCACCCUUAUUUAUCUUCGUGAAAUUGGAAAUGCUGAGUAAUUUCCGUUUUUCUUUUUCCGGUGCUCAUCAUUUCAGGGAGCUAUGACGGUGACCGAGUACCGUGAUCGUUUCCUCCAGCUUACUCGCUACGCCCCUGCCGAGGUCGCCAAUGAUGGCGAUAAGCAGGAGCGUUUUAGGGAGGGGCUAGAUGAUCACCUUGAGUACGCGCUCAUGAACCACCGCUUCGACAACUUCAACCAUCUGGUUGACUCUGCCCUCAACACCGAGCGCACGCGCCGGGAGAUUGAGGACAAGAAGAGGAAGAUGGCUCCUGCUGCAUCGGGCAGCAACACUCGGCCUCGAUACCAGCACCCGCAGCAUUAGCAGCAGAGGCCAUCUCCACCGUACCAGCAACGACAGCAGCAGUACCCGCCUCGUCCUCAGCAGCAGCAGCAGGUGGGAUAGGGCCAGAGGCUUCCAGCACCUCUGGCACGCUCAGCUCCACCGGUUCCACCUGCUCGGCGGCAGGGAGUGCCUACUCCUCCUGCCGGACAGCAGGCUCCAGCAUUCCCACGGGCGUGCUAUCACUGCGGCGAGCAGGGACACUACGCCAACGUUUGUCCCCAAAAGGCGCAGUCUGGACAGCAGGGGCGCCUAGCUCAGCCCAAGGCGCCAUCCCAGGGCAGGGUGAACCAUGUGACGGCCGAGUCGGUGGCUGAGACUCCCAACGUGGUUAUUGGUACGUUCAUGGUUAAUACCCAUCCUGCUACAGUGCUUUUCGAUACUGGUGCUACGCAUUCCUUCAUUACUCAGUCGUUUGUCGAGCAUCAUGGCAUUCAUAUUAGCACAUUAAAGAGGUGCAUGUUAGUAUCUUCACCGGGAGGGCAGAUGAGGUCUCAUAUCUUCUGUCCCAGAGUCAGUGUGGUCAUAAGGGGGGUAGAGUUUAGUGCAAAGCUGAUGGUGCUAGACACCAAGGGUAUCGAUGUGAUCUUGGGAAUGGAGACCCUUGCUAGAUGGGGUGUCAGGAUUGAUUGUGCUUAGAGGAUUGUCCACUUGUCAACACCGGAUGGAGACCCUUCACAGUCAGUGCUUCGGAGCCCUCUAGAAUUCUUUGUCAGAUGGAGGCUAGACCCACGGAUGGUAUUCGCGUGGUGUCUGAAUUCCCGGAUGUCUUCCUGGAUGAUUUGCCAGGUAUGCCGCCUGAUCGCAACAUUGAGUUUUCUAUUGAUCUCUUGCCUGGCACAGCUCCUAUUGCUAAGCGGCCCUAUUGUAUGGCACCCGUUGAGCAUGAGGAAGUUAAGAAGACCGUCGACGAGUUGCUAGCCAAGGGCUAUAUCCGUCGUAGCUUCUCUCCUUGGGCUUUUCCUGUAUUGCUUGUAGAGAAGAAGGAUGGCGCGAAGAGAAUGUGCGUCAAUUAUCGGGAUCUGAACACAGUCACCAUCAAGAACAAGCAUCCAUUGCCCCGCAUAGAGGAUCUCUUUGAUCAGCUUCAGGGUGCUUGUGUGUUCUCGAAGAUUGAUCUGCGUUCGGGUUAUCAUCAGCUGAAGAUUCAUCCCGAGGAUAUCCCGAAGACGGCAUUCACCUGCAAGUAUGGGCUAUACGAGUAUACGGUCAUGUCCUUCGGCUUGACCAAUGCUCCGGCUUUCUUCAUGCAUCUGAUGAACAAGGUUUUCAUAUAUUAUCUGGACACCUUGGUGGUGAUAUUCAUUGAUGAUAUCCUGGUAUAUUCCAAGUCAGAGGCAGAGCAUGAGAAGCAUCUGAAGCUUGUGUUGCAGAGGUUGAGAGAGCACAAGCUGUAUGCCAAGCUCAGCACGUGCGAAUUCUGGAUUGACGAGGUUCCAUUCCUCGAUCAUGUCAUCUCCAAGGGAGGUAUUGCUGUGGACCCCGGCAAGGUGAAGGAUGUGCUUGACUGGGUGGUGCCCCAGACAGUGAAGGAAGUCCGCUCUUUUCUGGGCUUAGCAGGAUAUUAUCGGAGGUUCAUUGAGAAUUUCUCCAAGAUUGUGAAGCCUUUGACUUCCUUACUAGAGAAGGGUGUGGAUUUCUCCUGGACUGAUGAGCGCCAGAAGGCCUUCGAGGAGCUGAAGAAGAGGUUAACUACGGCGCCAGUCCUUACUCUGCCAGACCAGAGCAAGAGGUUCACAGUGUAUUGUGAUGCUUCGAGGGAUGGUCUUGGUUGCGUCCUGAUGCAGGAAGGCAGAGUUAUAGCUUAUGCUUCACGGCAGUUGCGCCGGCAUGAGCUAAAUUAGCCCACUCAUGAUCUGGAAUUAGCCGCAGUUGUGCAUGCUCUGAAGAUAUGGAGGCAUUACUUGUUCGGGCAUAGGUGUGAUAUUUACACCGAUCACAAGAGCCUCAAGUACAUUUUCACUCAGAGUGAGCUGAACAUGCGGCAAAGAAGAUGGCUAGAGUUGGUCAAGGAUUAUGACCUGGAGAUUCACUAUCAUCCGGGCAAGGCCAAUGUUGUAGCAAAUGCUCUGAGCAGGAAGAGCUAUGUCAACAUGGCCGUGGCUUUCCAGAUGCCUCAGGAGUUAUGCGAGGAGUUUGAGCAGUUGAGUCUGGGUUUCUUGUAUCACACCUCGAGUGCAUCAUUCGAGGCAGAACCCACUCUAGAGGCAGAGAUCAGGCAGCAUCAGAAAGAAGAUAAGAAGCUGCAGGAGAUCCGUGAACUGCUCAAGAUUGGCAAGGCACCUCAUUUCAGAGAGGAUGAUCAGGGUACCUUGUGGUACAAGGGACAGAUAUGUGUGCCAGAUGUGAAGGAUCUCAGGAAGCUGAUUUUGAGUGAGGCUCAUGAUACAGCAUAUUCCAUUCAUCCGAGUAGCACGAAGAUGUAUUAUGACCUCAAGGAAUGAUUCUGGUGGUAUGGAAUGAAGCGUUCCGUUGCGGAGUACGUGGCUAUCUGUGACACUUGUCAGCGUGUCAAGGCAGAGCAUCAAAGGCCAGCAGGUCUAUUGCAGCCGUUGAAGAUUCCAGAGUGGAAAUGGGAGGAGAUCACUAUGGACUUCAUUGUUGGAUUGCCUCGUACUCAGAAAGGGUACAUGUGGCAGAACCAACCUGAAUUAUACCGGCUCAAGUACGCGAGUCCAAUCCUGAGGGCUCCAACGUGCUUCAAACGGUAUAAUCCCUUGGCCUUUCGGGUAACGUCCCGAUAAACCACCGAUACACAGGAUCAAUAAGGUUACCUCACACGAAGGUGAGUCCAGAGAUACAAUCACCAUCACAAUUUACAUAAUAGGGAAUUACAUUACAAGAGUUUAUAAAAGUAGUACAAAGUUUCAAACCUAGAGAAAAUAAUACAAACCAUUUAAGCUAUGAUUUUUAGCAGCGGAAAACAUACGCGAUGAUCUACAGCACGUCGACAAGAUGGAUGUCAUGCUAAGCCCGGGCACGACAUCACUCGAUAUCACCAGCGUUGGCCGAGGACGGAUCCCAUUCCACGGACCAAUCUUCUGGAAGAGCACAGGGCCAUGACAGGGAAAGAGUAGGGUCUUCAAAGGCUAUACCUGAAAAACGUGUAACUAGCAAGACUGAGUAUACUAAUACUCAGCAAGGCUUACCCGGUUAUGGUAUACUUAGCCAUGUAACUAGACUUAUGAAGGCUUUUAGCUCUGGGUAGAGUUUUUAGCUGAAAAGCAUCAAAGAGUAGAUCUUUAAUGUCAACUUUUAGUUUUCAAGUUCUAGGUGAUUAUUCCAUCUAGAUGAGCACCUAUAGCUAUUCAAGCAUGAUAAAAUCUUUAGUGAAACAUCAUCUUCGAUAAUCAUAACAUUGCUCUUGUUACUCAAUGUGACAAAGGGAUUAAGCAGUCUCAAUCAUCGUGAGAAGUGGACGAUCCGAAUCGAAUUUAACCUUGCAAGGUAAACCUAACUCACACGCUUGGAACACCAAAGGGUCGUUCCGAAGCAACCGUUUGCCUUUCAUUCCGACUCAUGGAUCAGAUCCACCACAAGCGACUGCAGGACCAUACGCACUUCCAAAGUGCAGGACGUACGUCUGUAGCGCGACUACAAAACCCGUACUCCUGGUUGCCCUUGAAACACGUAUUCCCACACGUCGAACAUAAGUAACCAGAAGAAGCAAGACGAGUGGUGGGAGGUAUGUCCACUACUCGGGCCGAUUGGCUACUAGGCUUACCGCUUACCAUAUUUCGCGGCAUGUGGUCAGUACUUUCAAACGCUUAACCCCGACCACCACACGCUGCGACCUUAUCAAGUUCAACAACACAGAUGGGGUAUCAUCUCAACCAUGAUACCUCACAAAACUCCCGUCCGUCAUCCUUAUAGUGAUAACAAGAAUGUAAACAUUACAACUCCUAUAUCGCGCGAGUGACAGGAAAUCACCCGACUUCUACCGGCCCUAUUAGCAUAGCAGCUAGCCGGACUCAAGUGCUAGUAUUCAAUACAUUGAUUCCUAGGAGAAUGCAACUAGGGUUUCAAGCAAUUCCUAAGAACUUAAUGCAGAGAUAGAUAUAAUAAU